UACGUAGGGUGCGAGCGUUGUCCGGAAUUACUGGGCGUAAAGAGCUCGUAGGUGGUUUGUCGCGUUGUUCGUGAAAACCGGGGGCUUAACCCUCGGCGUGCGGGCGAUACGGGCAGACUUGAGUACUGCAGGGGAGACUGGAAUUCCUGGUGUAGCGGUGGAAUGCGCAGAUAUCAGGAGGAACAUCGGUGGCGAAGGCGGGUCUCUGGGCCGAUACUGACGCUGAGGAGCGAAAGCGUGGGGAGCAAACAGG
rnacentral:rRNA from 1 species